ensembl:snoRNA
AUCCUUUCAUAGUUCAUAAGCACGUGUGAGAUGUGCCUCCCUCAAACUUUGUUAGCACAUCAGCACAAUACCCUACUGGAC